UAGUCUGUUAAUCCUUUUUUCUCCUAUAUGAUAUAGCCUAAGAUGUCAUAUAUACUUAAGAUUCAUUUUGUCUCUCGGUCAUUGAGAUCCUAUGGUAUUUACUAUCUACUCAGACACAUUCAUAGAUACAUCUACAUGUAAGUGAUAGUGACUGUCAAUCAUAAGAUCACAUUCAAUUAUUUUAUUUCUAAAAUAAAUGGUACAGUAGUCUUUAUUAAAAUUAAAUACAUAAUUAUCCUAUGCUAAAGAUGAAGUAGAAAUCAAAUUCUUGCAAGG
rnacentral:lncRNA from 1 species